GUGAGGAAUAUUGGACAAUGGGCGCAAGCCUGAUCCAGCCAUGCCGCGUGCAGGAUGACGGUCCUAUGGAUUGUAAACUGCUUUUGCACAGGAAGAAACAACGCUACGUGUAGCGUCUUGACGGUACUGUGAGAAUAAGGAUCGGCUAACUCCGUGCCAGCAGCCGCGGUAAUACGGAGGAUCCAAGCGUUAUCCGGAAUCAUUGGGUUUAAAGGGUCCGUAGGCGGUUUAGUAAGUCAGUGGUGAAAGCCCAUCGCUCAACGGUGGAACGGCCAUUGAUACUGCUAGACUUGAAUUAUUAGGAAGUAACUAGAAUAUGUAGUGUAGCGGUGAAAUGCUUAGAGAUUACAUGGAAUACCAAUUGCGAAGGCAGGUUACUACUAAUGGAUUGACGCUGAUGGACGAAAGCGUGGGUAGCGAACAGGAUUAGAAACCCGAGUAGUCC
rnacentral:rRNA from 1 species